GAGUUAAUUGGGAGUUUGCUUCAGAAUAUGUUACCAUUGUCUUGUGGUUACUGUGUAAUGAUAAAGCAAUGUUGGAGUGAUUGGAUUUUUUAGAUUUAAACUAGUGUAGAGCAAUUCACUGAAAAUUUUGAAGUAUGUUGAUGUUUAUAUUUGAACUUUCAUUGCAUUAUGAAUAAAACUACGUGAAUUUGUUGUGAGCUGAUAAUUUUGAUGAUCCUUAUUCCGGUUUGGCUACUCGUGGCAUGAUCGAGUGUUGGUGAAGAUCAAAGAAGCCGAGGAGAAGACGGUGGCAUCUUGCUUCCGACAACGGCUCAAUCAAAGCCUCAAGGAGGUGAGGUGGUUGCUGUUGGUGAAGGGAAGACAGUUGGGAAGACCAAAUUGGAAAGCUCUGUUAAGACUGGAGCCACGGUCAUAUGAAGGAGGACGAUAUCGUUGGGAUUCUUGAAACAGACGACAUCAAAGAUCUCAAGCCUUUGAAUGACAGAGUUUUCAUUAAGGUUGCAAAAGCCGAGGAGAAAACUGCUGGAGAUUUGUUGUUGACAGAGGCAAGCAAGGAGAAACCUUCCAUCGGGAGUUUAAGGAACAGUUAUAAUCUUGUGGGAAACGUAUAUAGCUUUCCACUAUGGUACUUUAUAUGUUGCAACUUAUACUUUUCAUUUGAAUGAAACAGGUGAUAGCUGUUGGACCUGGUUCUUUGGACGAGGAAGGUAACAAAAAGCAAUUGUCCGUUCCCCCCGGGAACACGGUCCUGUAUUCCAAGUAUGCAGGCAAUGAUUUCAAGGGCAGUGACGGCACCAAUUAUAUUGCCCUGAGAGCAUCCGAUGUAAUGGCCGUGCUCGCGUAGUUGUCUGAUGUGAUGUAUUUUAGGGGUACAACUGAUUGCAUCAUCUUCUUUAAAAAGAAGAUUCCAGUGUUUGGCAUCUAAGGGGGGAAAUUUUGGGUGAAAAAUAAAAGGGUUCAAUUCUCAUGUAAUUUGAGGUUUCCUGAUGUCUUUGAAGAGUUUUAAUAGCAACAUCUUACAUUUUUAUUA